GUGUCAGCCGCCGCGGUAAUACGUAGGGGGCAAGCGUUGUCCGGAUUCAUUGGGCGUAAAGAGCUCGUAGGCGGCUUGGCAAGUCGGGUGUGAAAACUUCAGGCUCAACCUGGAGCGGCCACUCGAUACUGCCAUGGCUUGAGUCCGGUAGGGGACCACGGAAUUCCUGGUGUAGCGGUGAAAUGCGCAGAUAUCAGGAGGAACACCGGUGGCGAAGGCGGUGGUCUGGGCCGGAACUGACGCUGAGGAGCGAAAGCGUGGGGAGCGAACAGGAUUAGAAACCCCCGUAGUCC
rnacentral:rRNA from 1 species